rnacentral:lncRNA from 10 species
GGCUCACUGCAACCUCCACCUCCUGGGUUCAAGUGAUUCUCCUGUCUCGGGCUCCCGAGUAGCUGGGAUUACAAGCAUGCGCCACCAGGCCCGGCUAAUUUUUUGUAUUUAGUAGAGAUGGGGUUUCACCUUGUUGGUCAGACUGGUCUCAAACUCCUGAUUUCAGGUGAUCCACCCGCUUCGGCCUCCCAGUGUUGGGAUUACAGGUGUGAGCCACCACACCUGGCCUCUCCAUAUAUUACAAAGUGGUAGUUGGUAGGCUGAGCUGCCUCUCUCAGAGACCUUGACUCUCUCCAAGGCUGUUAGAUAACCUCAGAGGUAAUGGAAAUGCAGUAAUCAGAUAUUGCAGAUAAUACAAGACUCAUUCAUUUCCAGAAGAUGAAACAGCUGUCAUGGAAAUAUUUUUUAAAUCUCAUACUGGCUAUACAAGAAGAAGCAUGGCACCAGCAUCUGCUUCUGGUGAGCAGCUCAGGCUGCUUCCAUUCCUGGUGGAAGGGAAAGGGGAGCUGACUUGUGCAGAGAUCACUUCCAAGAGGGAAAUCAAGAGAGAGAGGUCAAACGGUGUAAACUUUGCUGGAAGGAACCUUACUCAGAGGGCCAAUCACCUGCUUCUCUAGAGUUCUCAAGCUCUCCUGUGAGCACCAGGUUGAGCUGCAGAAAGCCAGAACCAGCUCAGAAACUGAGAAAUGGACAUGAAGAUGCCCAGUCUCAAUCCAGGAAACAUCUCUACAGCAUCCCUAACUGGGGGUUGAUCCAUUCAUUUCCAGACACAGAGAACAGAGUCACAUUCUGCUGUUUCCAUAUGUACCAUUUUAGUAAGACUUCUUGGGGCACAAGGCAGGAAGUUGGGGACAAUAUAUUUGUCUGCACCAAGGCAGCCUGAGAAGAGAGAAGUGAAUACUCCUGGGGUUAUUCUAUAUUAUUCACUUAAUAUUCUAAGUGAGUCCUCUAGGGGUACCUGAGACAUGGAGUAUGAAAGUACACAUUCACAAAAGUACCAGCUUUAAAACUAGAUUAUCUCUACUAUUCAAAAACACCAAGGAAAGGCCACACAAUGGAGACAAAGUGCAUCUGAGAUCUAGCAAAUUUCCCUGUUGGCCACAUACUGAUAAUGAUGUAUUAAAAUCAAUUCUAUACUGUGGGGUACUUAUUUGACAUUAAUAGGUACCAUGGUGGUUUAACAUAGUUGCUGCCCAGAGAAAACGCCGCACACUCACCUACACUAAAAUGAAGUCUGAGUCAGCUGCCUCCCCUCCGCCAUCCCUUCCAAAGCCAAUGGUUGAAAGUCACAGAAGUCCCUCUGCUGCCACCUAGUGACGACAAUGUGAAUACAACUACACAGCCUCCUGGGAAAGAAGUUUUGAACCACGUUUGCUUCUAAAGGAAGCCUGUAAUUACCUCUGAGUGCUCUAUUUUGGCUACAAUUUAAAAACAUAUAUAUUUUAAAACUCUAUAAACUCUUAUGCAUAUCCCUUUUUAAGAAUCUGACCUGUAAUGGAUGUAGCCUCACUUUCAAGAACCUAAAAGCUAUGCCCCCAAUUCAGGGAGUAGAACAGACAGGCUUAAGAACAGUGCCUAAAAAUGCCACUAAAUUUAUCUUUAAAAUGCCUGUGGUUCCUUAGCACUUGAAUUCCGUUAUGCCCCUGGGUAUAGUCACCUGGAUGUUAGGGGCUGUCAAAAUUCAGCCCUCAGUUGGUGAUCAGUAGGUUUUCCCUUUAAGUGGUUUCUGAAAGGAUUUUUUUUAAAAAUCUUGAAAUUCUCAUGUCUGGAUGAUGUUUCCAGUUUUGUGGAAGAAUAAAAGAAAAGGGACAUGAAAUUCUGGCUCCCUGGGGGCAGUGGCUGUGUCUUAUUAAUCUCUGUGCCCAUUGUACCAACACCGGUCAGUCACAGCAUGUACUCAACCAAUGCUGAUGAAUGCAGAGGGGCGAGGGGCUGGCACGCUCUUGACCCCUUAUAGGGGCUGCGUCGAUGGCCAGGGUUCAAUGGGAACUUUCUGGUACAGUCUUGCUCUGCCAAUCUUUCAAAUUAAGUGCAGCACAAUUGGAAGCCUCACAUUCUCAUAGACGGGUUGAGGAGGGCAUUAGGGGCAGAAAGGCUCACAUAAGGCCUGAGCGUGAGGUUUCCUGCCCAGCACUGCUGUGCCAUUGCAGCCCACCUUCUUCUCACCUUUCCUUCCACACCACGGCGCGGCAGGUGCAGAAACCGUGCUGGGAUUGAGGCCCUAGAGGCUGACUACAGGUCUUGGGGGCAAAACAUCUGGACACACAGCUGAAGAUGAGCCAAGUAUAUUAGUCAGGGUUCUCUAGAGAAACAGAACCAACAAGAUAGAGAGAUGCAGAGAGACAGAGGGACAGACAGACAGAUUUAAGUAACUGACCCAUAAAAUCUUGGAGGCUUGGCAAGUCCAAAAUCUGCAAGAUGGAAGUGGGCUGGCACAUUGGAGACUCAAGGAAGAGUUGCACGUUGAGUUCAAAGGCCGGCUGCUGGCAGAAUUCCUUUCUGCUCAGGUGAAGUCGGUCUCUGUUCUAUUAAGACCUUCAACUGAUUGGAUGAGGUCCACCCAUAUUAUGAAGGGUCAUUUGCUUUACUCAACAUCUACUCAUCUAAAUAUUAAUCUCAUUGAAAAAAAACCCCAGAAACAUCCAGAAUAGCAUUUGACCAAAUGUUUGGACAAUGCAGCCUAGCCACAUUAACACACAAAAUUAACUGUCACAGCAAGACACCAGGGAAGCAUUGGAAGAUGUUAGCGGCUGUCAUUGAAAUGGGUGCCGUCAGGUGGACGGCAGCCAUCCAUCGGGCAAGAGCGGGGCAGCUGGAAGGGCCCUCCCCUCCCGUUUGCUUUCUGCUCUUCACAGCUCACGGAUAGAGGAAUUUUCUCAGCACAUUUCCCAGGAGGAGUUUGGCACCACCAUUUCUUGAAAACAGAUGUCUGCAGGGAUGUGUGUGUGCCUGUGAAUAUGAAGUCCAGAGCCUGGGACUGAGAACAGCAAGGGGAACAGGUGGCCACAGGGGAGUUGCCAGAUUGCUGACUUAAGAUGUGCUCCCAGGGCUGCACUGGUGUCGGUCGUGAGAGCGAUCACGGUUUGUGCAACGUCUGAACUUUCUAUCAACUUAUGGUUUAAUCAAUUUGCUGUUUACUCCAGCUAUUUGCAACCUCUCCUCAGUUACUUGGUGUUCAGCAGUGUAAUAUAUCUUCAUGUGUGAAUAUAAAUAUACUAUUUAGUGGAAACUAAAAGGAAUUGUGGAGGAAGAAUUUUUUUGGAUAAUUUUAUGUUUUCAUAAUGUAAAAAUUAAAGAUAUUUGAAGAGUUGAGUAUGUCAGUUUUGGGGAUGCAAGAGAAUGACUUCGGGACUACCAUAAUAUUUAAAAUCAUCACUACUCUUUCUUUCCACCUAAGUCUCAUAGCAAAAGAGGAAAUUUACUUCAGUCUCUUUCUGUAGCAGAACAUUAUCGUGCUGUAUUCCUGUGUUCACUUAUCUGCGCUGGAUUGUGAGUCCUUACAGAGAGAAAUUGUUAUGUGCUAUGUUCCCAACACCUGCACAUUAUAGGUGGUCACUAAGUGCUUGAUGAAUAAAUGAAUGAGGGAAUAAUAUUGUUUAUUAUUUUUUGCUGUUAUUUAUAAUUGGGAGUGGGUAGGAUUUGGAUUAUGAAGACUCUGGGAAGCCUCAUAAGAACCUCAGACUCACUGGGCACGGUGGCUCACACCUGUAAUCCCAGCACUUUGGGAGGCCGAGGCAGGCGGAUCACGAGGUCGGGAGAUCGAGACCAUCCUGGCUAACACGGUGAAACCCGGUCUCCACUAAAAAUACAAAAAACUAGCCAGGUGUGGUGGCGGGCGCCUGUAGUCCCAGCUACUCCAGAGGCUGAGGCAGGAGAAUGGCCGUGAACCCAGGAGGCGGAGGUUGCAAUGAGCCGAGAUCGCACCACUGCACUCCAGCCUGGGCGACAGAGCAAGACUCCAUCUCAAAAAGAAAAACCUCAGACCAGACUCAACGUGUCCAAAAAAGAGCUCACCUUGUACCCCUAGAUCCUGAAGCGGCUUCCAGUAGCUCAACCUCCUCCCAUCCAGUUCCAUCUCUGCCAGGGAUCUUUUAAAAAUGCAAAUCUCAUUAUGUCUCUUUCCUGCCUCAAACCUCCCAGUGGUUCUCCAGUCUGUCAGGAGAGGGUAUAGACUGUGGCCUGGCCCGGGAAGUUCUUUGAGGUCAACCCCUGCCUACUCAUCUUGCUAACUCUUAUGGCUCUCUGACACUAGGCUUUUGCUCCAAUCAUAUAAGCAACUGUAUUUCCAUAAAAUUGCAAUGUUCUUCCCUACCUCCUCACUUAACUAAUUUUCACUUUACUGAUCAUUUCUUAUUUUACUAUCAGCGUCUCUUUCUCCUUAUUCUUCAGGGAACAUUUCUCUCCACCAUCCUGUGCCACACUGUGGGGGUGUCAGUAACACCCUCUGUCCUCUCCUGGCCAAAGGAAAGGGGUGUCAUUCAGCCCAGGCCCCUGGAUCCUCAUCUUGGGAUUUGGAAAUGUGACCGAAGUGACAUAAAAAAAAGACAUGAAGUGCGAGGAGCUCAUUCAGUCAGCUCUGCAGCUCCAGCUGGGUUACCUGUGAGUCCUUGCUAGCCAGAUCCCUUGAUUUGCCGUGACUCCUGCCUUUGCCAAGUCUGUCUUCAUAGAUUCUUUCAAAUGUGGUUCCAUCUUGCCUGAGUUCGUCAGAGCCAGAUUCUGUGCUGUAAUAAAAAACCCCAAAUCAACUCACCUCUCACCCUCCACAAUGCAGCUUCUGGAAGAUUCCAGAUGCCCCAGCCUGACUGAGAAUUCUCUCUCCUCUGCUCUCAAAGUCCCUUUGGGUGCUUCUACCAAAGCACUGACAGCGUGAUUCUGAUUUGAUCGCUGGUGUCUGAGAGCUGUGAACGUCUUGAUGGUUUUGGCGCCCAGCACCAUUCCUGCCUCAUAAUUGGCACGUGAUAAAGGCUUGUCGCAUUCCCUCAUUCAAAAUAAACAUAGAAGACAAUCCAGAGAUUGCAGCUUCACAGAAAUCACAGAAGGAAAUUUAUAUUUAUAGAGACGGCAUAUAAAAUUUUAAAACAAUUUUAAUGAAAAUCUUGAAAAUAGACAUUCUCUUCUUUAAACAACAUAAACUGAACAAACUCAGUCUGUUUUGGUGCCUCUGUGAGUACCCUCGGUUGCUCUGGGCUGCUGUGCGAUGCUGACCGGGACUUCCUCAGAGGCCUCAUCUUCUGCAUCCAGUGGACUUGCAAGCCACUUUACACUUCCUGGGUGAUAAGGUUUGGAUUUGUGUCCCCGCCCAAAUCUCACGUGGAAUGUCAUUCCUAAUGUUGGAAGAGGGGCCUGGUGGGAGGUGAUUGGAUCAUGGGGGCAGAAUUCCCUCUUGCAGUUCUCUUGGUAGUGAGUUCUCACAAGAUCUGGUUGUUUAAAAGUAUGUAGCACCUCCUGCUUUCGCUGUCUUCCUCCUGCUCCCGCCAUGUAAGACGUGGCCUCCUUUCCCUUCGCCUUCCGCCAUGAUUGAAAGUCUUCAGAGGCCUCCCCAG